rnacentral:misc_RNA from 1 species
CUGAGUCUUAAAACCACUCAAACCCUUGCAAACUUACCUAUGUUGCCUCGGCGGGGGGCCUCGGGGGUGGUGCCGAAAGGUACCUACCCUGGAGUGCCUACCCUGGAAACCUACCCUGGAGUCAGUUCCGGGGAGGGCCCAGGCGUUAAACCCGCCGGCGGACCACCAAACUCUGUUUACUGUGGCAUAUCUGAGGAUUAUUUUAAUACGUUA